rnacentral:rRNA from 1 species
GUCAUAUGCUUGUCUCAAAGAUUAAGCCAUGCAUGUCUCAGUACAAGCCACAUUAAGGUGAAACCGCGAAAGGCUCAUUAAAUCAGUUAUGGUUCCUUAGAUCGUACUCACAAUUACUUGGAUAACUGUGGUAAUUCUAGAGCUAAUACAUGCAAACAGAGCUCCGACCGGAGACGGAAGGAGUGCUUUUAUUAGAUCAAAACCAAUCGGUGGCGGGCUCGCUCGUCAUCGUACAACUUGGUGACUCUGAAUAACUUUAAGCUGAUCGCACGGUCACCGCACCGGCGACGCAUCUUUCAAAUGUCUGCCUUAUCAACUGUCGAUGGUAGGUUCUGCGCCUACCAUGGUUGUAACGGGUAACGGGGAAUCAGGGUUCGAUUCCGGAGAGGGAGCCUGAGAAACGGCUACCACAUCCAAGGAAGGCAGCAGGCGCGCAAAUUACCCACUCCCGGCACGGGGAGGUAGUGACGAAAAAUAACGAUACGGGACUCAUCCGAGGCCCCGUAAUCGGAAUGAGUACACUCUAAACCCUUUAACGAGGAUCAAUUGGAGGGCAAGUCUGGUGCCAGCAGCCGCGG